AAUAGAUACCCGGGUAGUCCACGCCGUAAACGAUGAGUGCUAAGUGUUAGGGGGUUUCCGCCCCUUAGUGCUGCAGCUAACGCAUUAAGCACUCCGCCUGGGGAGUACGGUCGCAAGACUGAAACUCAAAGGAAUUGACGGGGGCCCGCACAAGCGGUGGAGCAUGUGGUUUAAUUCGAAGCAACGCGAAGAACCUUACCAGGUCUUGACAUCCCAUUGACUACUAUGGAGACAUAGUUUUCCCUUCGGGGACAACGGUGACAGGUGGUGCAUGGUUGUCGUCAGCUCGUGUCGUGAGAUGUUGGGUUAAGUCCCGCAACGAGCGCAACCCUUGUUCUUAGUUGCCAUCAUUUAGUUGGGCACUCUAAGGAGACUGCCGGUGACAAACCGGAGGAAGGUGGGAUGACGUCAAAUCAUCAUGCCCCUUAUGACCUGGGCUACACGACGUGCUACAAUGGACGGUACAAACGGUUCGCCAACCCGGCGAGGGGGAGCUAACGUCCGAUAAAACCCGUUCUCAGUUCGGAUUGUAGCUGCAACUCGCUACAUGAACGACCG
rnacentral:rRNA from 1 species